AGAUACCCGAGAUGCCUGCUGACAACGUCAGCGACAUGCCCAGGUAGCCGCGAUCUUCAAGGCUGCGGCGCGGUUUCGACCGCGUUGAUCGUUCCAGUUCGCACCGCAUCCCACGCGCGAACAUCCAUCGUUUUCGAUGGAGGAUGC
rfam:Thioalkalivibrio sulfidophilus HL-EbGr7, complete genome.